rnacentral:rRNA from 1 species
GACGAACGCUGGCGGCGUGCCUAAUACAUGCAAGUAGAACGCUGAAGAGAGGAGCUUACUCUUCUUGGAUGAGUUGCGAACGGGUGAGUAACGCGUAGGUAACCUGCCUUGUAGCGGGGGAUAACUAUUGGAAACGAUAGCUAAUACCGCAUAACAAUGGAUGACACAUGUCAUUUAUUUGAAAGGGGCAAUUGCUCCACUACAAGAUGGACCUGCGUUGUAUUAGCUAGUAGGUGAGGUAAUGGCUCACCUAGGCGACGAUACAUAGCCGACCUGAGAGGGUGAUCGGCCACACUGGGACUGAGACACGGCCCAGACUCCUACGGGAGGCAGCAGUAGGGAAUCUUCGGCAAUGGGGGCAACCCUGACCGAGCAACGCCGCGUGAGUGAAGAAGGUUUUCGGAUCGUAAAGCUCUGUUGUAAGUCAAGAACGGGUGUGAGAGUGGAAAGUCCACACUGUGACGGUAGCUUACCAGAAAGGGACGGCUAACUACGUG